CCGAGGUCCCCGCAGCCAGCAACGUGAGGCCCAUCACCUCGGGGGGUAUCUUCGCGGUCGCACCAGCUACGUUCGCCCACCAUACCAUUAGGUGUCCCUCCAGCGAAAACUAUUAACGCACAGGCGGCACCACUCCAUUAACAACUAUAGAAAAACCUACUUUGUCGAUUUAAAAGCAUCUAAUUGGACGUCCGCGAGCCCCCCGUUGGGAAGAUCGAGUGGCGUUUCCUUCGCAGCAGCUGCCGUAUGCCUCGCCGCAGUUGC